GUCCACGCCCUAAACGAUGGGCACUAGGUGUGAGGACUCUUUAAUGUCCUCGUGCCGUAGCUAACGCAUUAAGUGCCCCACCUGGGAAGUACGGCCGCAAGGUUGAAACUCAAAUGAAUUGACGGGGGCCCGCACAAGCGGUGGAGCAUGUGGUUUAAUUCGACGCAACGCGAAGAACCUUACCUAGGCUUGACAUCUGGAGAAUCCCCUGGAAACAGGGGAGUGCCCGCAAGGGAGCUCCAAGACAGGUGCUGCAUGGCUGUCGU
rnacentral:rRNA from 1 species